UCCAAAAAUUCGGUAUCAGAUGGUGUGUUGGCUGGGGAUUUCUCCCCAAGUCAGUCAACCCUCUUCACGGCGAAUGGAAAUUCAUUUUAUUACAACAGCAUUCACAUCUGCAACAGAAUAACCAAACCACCAUCCAUCCAGCAAAAAAGAAAGAAAAAAGCUGAGAUUUAAGGACACUUGCUUCUUUUGAACUUCAGGAGCAGGAGCAGGUCGGUUCUCAUAAUGCUCCUGCCAAUAUCAUGCAACAGGAGACGGAGACCAGGGAGACUGGGGAGUCGGGGGAGGUACCAUGGGCCUUCAAGAACUUCUCCAGUUGUUUCAUCUUCUUAUCUCGGGCACAGUUUUCCCGGCGCCUUGCUGCCAGGCUCAGGAGCAUGCUUUUCACCCUAUUUUGGACACGGGGCUGUCCGAAAACAGUGAUUUCAAUUAAGCUCCCGGAGUUCACCUUUUCCACCGUCAGCAGGACCUGGUUCGUCCACUCUAUUUCUGGAAUCGUGACUCCAUUUUUUGCCGAAGAUGGGGUCAGCCAGACAUGCCUCCAGGUAAAACACCAAUCUACUCACACACAUCUACUCACAUGUACAUUCACACAUAAGCAACAUCUGUCUUGGGCACUCACACUUCCUCCCCCAGGCAUCAUGGUUACACACAUGCGUGAAUGGGCCAAUACACUGCACUCUUUUUUUUUUUUUUUUUUACAUUUCAUUCAGGAUUUCUUUCUAUGGCAUAUACAUACAUCAAUUUUACAUAAUCGUUAUCCUUUAUUUGUCUUGUUUUAUAACCUUUGUUUCAUACUUAAAAUCUUUUUUUUAAUUAAAUCUUUAUUGUUCAGAU